CUCAAACCAACCCAUUUAUGCACAGAUCGAGCUUGUGAUUAGUACCAUCUCCUUCCUCUCGUCAUCGCGAACUCAACCAUACCAAUUGUUGGACGUGAAACCUUGGAAAACCCGAGAACCCAGGCACCCCGAAGAAGGCACUGUUUAUACUCUUGCGAUCGUGGGGGUUUCAUUUGAUUCUGAGCUUAUGGGAAGCUUUAGAUCACCCUCAUGAUGCUCGGAGUACCAUUUUCACGAAGUUUGGACGUCGGGAUUGUGUAGAACCAGAGAACCCAAUAUUUGGUACUGUUCAAGUGCUCGUGGAAUUGAAGGUUUCAAGGUAUUUGGAGCUCAUAAGGAGCUUAAGGACCUCUCCACGAAGCUCGGAGAGGAAGAAUGAGGUGAUUUAGACGUCUGGAGACCGAGAUCGAAGCAUCACAGUUUGGCCGGAAUUAUCGAAGGAUCUCUGGCAAAUUCUCGAAGGUUUUAGGUCCAAAUCUUGGUAAAGUUUUGUUUCUUAUGUUGUAAGUUUCAUUUUGGUGAAGAUUUCAUGAAAAAUGGUUAAGAAUUGACUGAAAUACGAAGCCUGGAAAAAUUUCCAGAAACCGGCGAGUUGCAGCGGCACCGGCGACGGUUUCCGGCGAACCAAGGAAGAAGGAGGAGUAUAUUCCGUCAAGUCUGACGGAAUAUGCUAACGGCGUCAGUUAUAUUAAACGGUAUAUGCUGAUUUUUAACGGAAUAUUCCCUAACUGCCGUUACUGUUACCGUUAGGGUUCCUUGCGCGUGGCCGCGC
rnacentral:lncRNA from 1 species